AUUGAACGCUGGCGGCAUGCCUAACACAUGCAAGUCGAACGGGGUGUAGCAAUACAUCUAGUGGCGGACGGGUGAGGAAUACAUAGGAAUUUGCCCUUAAGUGGGGGAUAGUCCGGGGAAACUCGGUUUAAUACCGCAUGAUCUCGUGAGAGCAAAGCAGGGGACCGCAAGGCCUUGCGCUUUUGGAGAAGCCUAUGUCGGAUUAGCUAGUUGGUAGGGUAAUGGCCUACCAAGGCAACGAUCCGUAACUGGUCUGAGAGGAUGAUCAGUCACACCGGAACUGAGACACGGUCCGGACUCCUACGGGAGGCAGCAGUGGGGAAUAUUGGACAAUGGGCGCAAGCCUGAUCCAGCAAUGCCGCGUGUGUGAAGAAGGCCUGGUGUAA
rnacentral:rRNA from 1 species